CCAACAGUAUCAGUGACUCAUCAGGUGGAUUGUGUUGCAAAGUGUGGAUUAGUAAAGGGUUUCUCUUCAAAUCCUGGCAAGAACGAAGCCCACAAUAGAGAUCCUGACUCUUCAAGCUGGAGCCUGGACUCCUUUAUUAGGAAUGAAGGGUCUCUCCUUGGCUACUGGCCAAUUAAUUACCUCCUUAAUAUCAGCAAUUCUUAUUUAUGAUCUGCAAUCUCCACGAGUAGCCUGCUUGGACAAAACCCAUUUAUGGAAAUCCAAUUCAUAAGGACUCUCUUGUUCCUAUUCUUAAUUGAUACCAAGUCCAGAAGAGAAGAAGGGUGCUGCAACGUGAGGAAAAAAAGAGAUGCAGUCCCCACUGUCAUGAAAUACAGCCAUAUAAUCAAAGAAUCCCACAAUUCUACCACGAGAAGUACUGUGAUCGAGAGAUACAUAAUGCCGAGAGCAUUUACGAGAGGAUGUGGCCUGUCCAGGAGAAAGGCCAUAUGAGGACACAGCAAGACAGCCACAAGCCAGGAGAGAAGCCCUUACCAGAACCUGC
rnacentral:lncRNA from 1 species